rnacentral:tRNA from 1 species
GGCCUGAUGGUCUAGUGGGUAAGCGUAACCAACUCGCCCUCCAGCACGCCAAUCACUAACAACCGCCCCAGUAUGAUUGUCGCUUCGGGAGCUUUGCGCCUGGAUACAGUGUAUCUGUGAUUGUGACAGGCCCCGGGUUCGAAUCCCGGUCAGGCCC